rnacentral:rRNA from 1 species
CUACGGGGGGCUGCAGUGAGGAAUUUUGCGCAAUGGGGGGAACCCUGACGCAGCAACGCCGCGUGAGUGAUGAAGGCUUUCGGGUCGUAAAGCUCUGUCAAGUGGGAAGAACCUAUGCAGUGUUAAUAUCACUGUAUACUGACGGUACCACUGAAGGAAGCACCGGCUAACUCCGUGCCAGCAGCCGCGGUAAUACGGGGGGUGCAAGCGUUAUUCGGAAUCAUUGGGCGUAAAGGACACGUAGGCGGCUUGGUAAGUCAGAUGUGAAAGCCCGGGGCUUAACCCCGGAAGUGCAUUUGAUACUGUCAGGCUUGAGUAUGGGAGAGGGAAGUGGAAUUCCUGGUGUAGAGGUGAAAUUCGUAGAUAUCAGGAGGAACACCGGUGGCGAAGGCGACUUCCUGGACCAAUACUGACGCUGAGGUGCGAAGGCGUGGGUAGCAAACAGGAUUAGAUACCCUCGUAGUC